GACGAACGCUGGCGGCGUGCUUAACACAUGCAAGUCGAACGAUGAACCGGGUGCUUGCACUUGGGGAUUAGUGGCGAACGGGUGAGUAACACGUGAGUAACCUGCCCUGGACUCUGGGAUAACCCCGAGAAAUCGGAGCUAAUACCGGAUAGGACCUUCUCCCGCAUGGGGGUUGGGGGAAAGUUUUUCGGUUUGGGAUGGACUCGCGGCCUAUCAGCUUGUUGGUGAGGUAAUGGCUCACCAAGGCGUCGACGGGUAGCCGGCCUGAGAGGGUGACCGGCCACACUGGGACUGAGACACGGCCCAGACUCCUACGGGAGGCAGCAGUGGGGAAUAUUGCACAAUGGGCGCAAGCCUGAUGCAGCAACGCCGCGUGCGGGAUGACGGCCUUCGGGUUGUAAACCGCUUUUAGUAAGGAAGAAGGGGCUUCGGCCUUGACGGUACUUGCAGAAAAAGGACCGGCUAACUACGUGCCAGCCGCCGCCGUAACAC
rnacentral:rRNA from 1 species